GGGGAUAUAACUGGAACUCUGGGAAUGUAACGGGCAUGGUGUGCUUGUCUGAUGGACAGGGCAGCUUAGGGGAAUAAGUCUCUGCAGCGUUGUAGUGAAGAGAGAAUACGGGACAACUGCAGGACCACAGCUCAGCCAAGAGCUCCCUUGCAGCUGAGUUGGCCAUAUGACUGACAGCAAGCCCUGGAAUGCAGCCAGAAGUGAUAGAAGCCUCUUUCACACCAUGCUCCUAAAAUAUUCCAAGAAAUUUUCCAAACCUACUCUUUUUAGUCUGUGCAUCUGGAAGUGAAAGUUUUAGAAAGGGUAAAGUCACUUAAUGGAAAGGGCCCAGAUCUAGCCCCUCGGAGCCAAGCUGUCCAACUAGAAAUUCUGCAUUAGUAUUUGCGACCCCAGUAAAAAAAAAAAAGUCCCACAAAGAUGUAGGAUCUCACUUUGCCUGCGUUAAUUCCCUGUCCUUUGCCCAGUUUCUCCUCUCUUGGAAGGCAGAGGCAGCUUCUGAUUUUGAUCACUUCAUGUCCAGUGAGCUCAAGUGUUGCAAGUAUCUGCUUAAAAUGCCAUGUGAUGCUAAUCAUCUCUGCACGAGCAGUUCAUCUCAUCUCUCCAGUAAAUUGCUUAUCACAGUAAAAGAAAAGCAAAACAGGAGAGGGGCCAAGAUGGCUGAAUAGAAACAGCCCUGAUCUGCAGCUCCCAGGGAGACCAACGCAGAAGGCCUCUUCUGGAACUGAUUGCAAGGAGUGAAAUGGACUAAUUUUAGAAUAAGCAACUCUACUAUGGAACAUCUGAAAAAAAAAGAGCACUUUUUAAAUUACAGCAAAAUAUUUUUUGAUAUAAAUUUGUGUCUGGCUUCCGCAGAAAACAGUAGACACAUAUAAGGUUUUGCUCCAAGAACAGACUGGACAAAUGAAAUGACAUAUAUAUCCACAAGGGACAUGUUUUUAAGGCAGUUGUCAGAGGAGAAAGAGGAGAAGCAUGUGGAAGGAGGGCUUCCUGAUGACUAAAUUAUAUGUAUGUUUCUGUAUGUCUCAUUUCAUGGGAACUACCUCUACUUUCAAAUGAUCAUUUCUUCCCAACAUUUCAAUCUAUAUAUCACUUCUCUUUGUAAUGAAAAGCAUGUUACUUUUCUAACUUUUAGCCUAAAUACUAAGAAAUAAAAAUUUAUUUAAUGAUC
ensembl:lncRNA LINC00499 long intergenic non-protein coding RNA 499